AUGUGGUGGCCCCCGAGUGCUGGGAAGAGACAAAGCAGUGCUGGGCCCACAAACAUUCUGAGAGGUUUGCUUCUUGUAAGCAUCCUAGCAGUGUCCCACGCAAUGUUGACAGCAAUCCAAAAGAGACAAAACAUGUGGGUCACCCUAGCUAAUUUAACGGGGCAAGACUCUAUAUGUUUGAGCCUGGACCCAUUUCGCACCUGCUUAAUUGGGGUCCCAUACUUUAAUCCACAAGACUUACGAGGGAUGCUAGACAACAGCUCACUGAUAGGGAACGCCACAGGCAAUGGCAAUUGUUCAGGGCUGAUUGGACUCAAGCCUGCGCAACAGCAUGCCUGCUGGCAAGCUGCAUUCUUGAAAAGCAUCAAUGUCACUACGGGGACACCAGAAGAGUUAGACCUACUGGGUUCCAGAAACCAAACUGGGGAUGGUUAUAUAACAUUCCAGCUGCCCACUACUGGUCAAUUAAAUGUUAAUAGGUGCCUUUGGGCCACUGUUGACCCUCUUACAGACUGGUUUCUGAGAAACUAUGAGUCCGAAGCAAUUUACUACCGAAUCAACCUCACGGGUCAAGCCCUGAAACGCCUCCCCAGUGGUACGUUCUUAAUAUGCGGGGACCGCGUGUGGAAUGGGGUUCCCACCAGCCCACAUGGGGGACUGUGCUACUUAAGGAAACUCACCCUGUUCCACCCAAACCUGCAUCAACUCUUAAAUAUCACCCAGCGCACUGAAACCAGGGUGCGGCAUUCAGUCCAUGAGCUCAAAUGUGAAAGGACUGAAGAGCCUGUCUUUUGGAGUCGCAGUACAAUUUGGCUAGCAUCUUUGUUUUUACCUGGUGCUUCAGUGGCUAGGGCACACGCAACAUUACAUAAACUUGCUUGCUGGGCAAGAGACAAACUAAACUUAACUUCGCAGAUGCUUGACGAGCUAAGCGCAGAUGUUACUAGUGUUAGGCAUGUGGUAUUACAAAAUCGGGCAGCCAAUGAUUUUCUACUAUUAGCCCACGGCCACGGCUGUGAAGAUUUCCAAGGUAUGUGCUGUAUGGAUCUUUCUGACCACUCUGUCUCAAUUCACAAGCGCCUCUCUGACCUCCAGAGGGGCCUGUGUAACCUUUGGGAGACAGGCGACCCUAUUGGGGAUUGGCUUAAGGGUCUGGGUAUCACCGGAUGGCUGCGUGCCUUGGUAGUAGAAGGCUGUCGAUUGCUAUUUGUAGUUAUAAUAGGCUUAAUAGCAUUUGGGUGUAUUUUUUCCUGUGUCAAAGCAGGGCUGCGAAAGAUUAUCGACCAGGCCUGGGUUGCCCAAAAAGAAAACGGGGGAUGUGUAGAGAGAUCCCUUAUGGAACAGGGGCAUAUGAUACCCCUGGAAAGAUUGGACAACCCAGGGUUGCUGAGGAAAAGCCCCUGA
rnacentral:lncRNA from 13 species